rnacentral:rRNA from 1 species
GAUGAACGCUGGCGGCGUGCCUAAUACAUGCAAGUCGAGCGAACAGAUGAGGAGCUUGCUCCUCUGACGUUAGCGGCGGACGGGUGAGUAACACGUGGAUAACCUACCUAUAAGACUGGGAUAACUACGGGAAACCGGAGCUAAUACCGGAUAAUAUAUUGAACCGCAUGGUUCAAUAGUGAAAGACGGUUUUGCUGUCACUUAUAGAUGGAUCCGCGCCGCAUUAGCUAGUUGGUAAGGUAACGGCUUACCAAGGCAACGAUGCGUAGCCGACCUGAGAGGGUGAUCGGCCACCCGGGAACUGAGACACGGUCCAGACUCCUACGGGAGGCAGCAGUAGGGAAUCUUCCGCAAUGGGCGAAAGGCUGACGGAGCAACGUCGCGUGAGUGAUGAAGGUCUUCGGAUCGUAAAACUCUGUUAUUAGGGAAGAACAAAUGUGUAAGUAACUAUGCACGUCUUGACGGUACCUAAUCAGAAAGCCACGGCUAACUACGUG